CCCCUCUCAGGGUUGCACCUGGAGAAUUUCCAGUACUCUGCCAGUCUUGAGUACAGGAGGGAGAGUCAAGCAGAGGCAUACCCAUUCCAUUCCUACCUUGGGCAGAGGCUAGCGAUUGGAAGGCAAUCUGCUACAAGU